rnacentral:rRNA from 1 species
GUCUUUUUGAGUUUAAUUUAAAGUCUAAUCUGCCCACUGAUGAAUAUUUAAGGGCCGCAGUAUUUUGACUGUGCAAAGGUAGCAUAAUCAUUAGUCUUUUAAUUGAGGGCUUGUAUGAAUGAUUGGACGAGGCAUAAGCUGUCUCAUAAAAAUUUAAGUAGAAUUUUAUUUUUUAGUUAAAAAGCUAAAAUAAAUUUGAAAGACGAGAAGACCCUAUAGAUCUUUAUAAUUUACUUUUAAAUUUUUUUAAGUUAUUUUUUAAAUUUAUAGGUUAAAUUAUUUUGUUGGGGUGACAAUGAAAUUUAAUAAACUUUCAUUAUUUUGAAACAUUAAUUUAUGAAUAAUUGAUCCACUAUUAGUGAUUAAAAAUUUAAGUUACCUUAGGGAUAACAGCGUAAUUAUUUUGGAGAGUUCUUAUCGAUAAAAUAGUUUGCGACCUCGAUGUUGGAUUAAGAUUAAUUCUGGGUGUAGCAGUUCAGUUUAUUAAGUCUGUUCGACUUUUAAUUUCUU